rnacentral:rRNA from 1 species
GUUGCCGGUCAUAGGGAGGGGGGAAAUACCCAGACCCAUUCCGAACCUGGAAGUCAAGCCCCCUCCCGCCUGGCGAGUAGUGGGGUGCGGGAGCCCCCGCGAAAGCCGGGUGCUGGCAACC